rnacentral:lncRNA from 1 species
GGUACUCUAGCAAGGGGUCGAUCUAGCAAGGUUCUUCAUCAAUUAGCUAGACAACAAGAGAUUCUUCCAAGCUUGAGUUUUUCAAUAUCUCGAUGUAAGUUCCUUUUUGAAAUUCGGAUGGUAAAGAAACUACUAGCUUUGAUAGUGUAUUUUGUAUCCGAGGUAUCUAUUGGAUAUUAAAGCUUAGAAAAGAUGUGGUCAG